GCAGUGUGCCAUUCUAUAAGCUCGUGUGUUACAGAUUCCUUUCACGAAGUCAGUUUUAAAAUAAUUACAUUUGUAUUUAACUAGUUCAUUGAAAGAAAUCUGAAGCAGAGAAAUGUCAGGUUGAUGUAAUACUCCACUGUCCUCACCACACACACACACACACACACACACACACACACACACACCAGAAACUUCCUGGACCACAAUACUAUCUAUUCAUAGGUAUUUCCAUUUUUACAUUACAGCUUGGUAGCAGUUCAGCACACAUUAUUGCCAGGGCAGGCCAUAGCAUCUGUGGCCUCACCCAUUCCAUGCACAAAAGAAUGGAAAGCUGAGGGUGCCGCCCAGAGGAAUGUCCCCCUGGUCACCAGGACACAAAUGCGGCUUCGACUCAUACGGCUCCCGCCUCUUCUGCCCACAGCUCCUGCUGCUUCCCUUUGUUCUCUCCAUGAACCGCCCUCAGAAAGAGUUCAGCUGCCCUCUGCAGCAUGGUCAGGGUUCUGCCCGACACGCAGAAUGCCAGCCCCGAACCCCAGGGGAGGGGACAGGCUCCGUGAAAGGCUGGAUAGCAGUUAUUUAAACAGAACGAGUCAGAAAUCUGAUUCAGGCCUAGAAGGCAGUCCAAAAUUAAGAAGACACCCUCACUCUAUGGAUCUGACAGGGAAUUCUGUGAAAAGAAAACAUCUGUCUGGAUUGGGCCGAACACUGCAGAAAACAGACCUGACGCCCACAGUACGUUGGUAGUGUUUAAAAAUGAGAGAUUUUCUUUAUCGUGGUGUAUGAAAGACUGAGAGGCCAUUUACCCAAUUUUCCCUCCAGCCUUUGUACCUCAUAUGCUGAGACAAUGAAGCCAGAUUAAAACAGCCACAGCCACCAAAUGACAGACGCAUGGGAAACAAGUAACAGCACCCACGACGAAAGGCACUUUUAAUACCGCUGCUUUAGAAAACUGGCUAUUUCAAAUAUUCUGCUGAUGUUGAAGACUGCUAAAACUAAAAUGUUUAAACACAGAAAAAUUCAGUAAUCAUCCUUAAGGAAAUACCUUGGGGUAGUAUACGGUCCUUUCAUUGUUAAAAUAAUUUAGAACUGUAUAAUGGGGUUGAUAUUAAAUGCAACAUAUGUUUAAGCCUUAAAAACUAAAAUGACUGCCAAUAAAUUCAGUGCUUGGAAUCUCACACACGGUACGCUUGAUGAACACAAUUUCCAUUUGGCCCAAUUCAAUAACUAAUAUUAGGCACUACUACAUGCAAGGCACUGUGGGUAAUUUCAAUGCAGGCCAGGGACCAAUGCUACCUAUACUGAUAUCUCAAGAUUUCAAAAUUAAAAAAAAAAAAAA